UCACAAGUCACGAGCAUCUACUAAGGUUUGAAUACAAGGAAUACUACCACAGUCUGGAAAAAUACUAAAACAACCUAAGGAAGAUGAGAGGGAGAAGAGUAAGGCUGCGAACGCCAGACAGCUACCUUGCUCCGAUGGACCUACCGCUGAGUAAUCAACACCCACUACCGAGUUCAAAAAUACCUGAAUCUGCACACAACGUGCAUGGAGUAAUGUGAGUACGCCAACUCAGUAAGUAAUAAAAGUAAAUAGAGACUGAGCAAUAAGAAAACACAUAAUCCACAUUAUAACACCACAAUAAAUACAAUAUGUUUCCAAAACAAUUUAUAACUCAAAUCAUCUCAAUAAAAAUCCAAUUUCAGUAAAGAUCCUUUGAAAAUGUCUUUCAACAAUUUUUCAAACGAAGUGAUAAAAUGGUGAGUAAAAAUAGUGAAAACAUAAUUAGCCCCUUGGGCAAAGCUCACUCGUAUACAGCCCCUCGGGCAAUAUAAAUCACAAAGAGCCCCUCGGGCAAGACAUAUAUCAUAAACCGCCCCUCGGAUAUAGCAUUAAUCAGAACCAACCCCUCAGGCUACCUCACAAUCACUCGUAAUCAGUCCCUUGUGCACAACAUAAAUCAAGAUCAGCCCCUCGGGCAACAUAAUAUCACUCACUCUGGGUACCCGCGCUCACAGAGGGUGUUCAGACUCCGGAGGGGCUCCUACAUCCCAAGUGCUAUGACAAGCCAUCUCGUGACAUAAUAAAUCAGGCCCUCAGCCUCAUAACAACAAGCCACCUCGUGGCAUAUAUCAAUCAGGCCCUCAGCCUCACAAUAUCAUGAAUCAGUAACAAUCUAUUGUGACAUGCAGCCCGAUCCUUUAAUAUCCUCACAAUACAGGCCCUCGACCUCACUCAAUCAGAAACCUCUCGAGCCACUCGGCUAACAGUAAAACAGCGCGUUCAUCCCAAAAUAUCAUUUAUAGUAUGAAAAUGGAGUAAAUAAGGUUAAAUUAUGAAAUUAGUAAAAUACAGCAUGACUGAGUACAUAUAUUAAAUAAAACAAGUGUGGAAUAGUAUAAAAGCCUCUAAGGGUCCAAACAGCUUGGCACGACGCCCAAAUAUGGCAUCCAGCCCAAAACAUAGUAAUACUUUCCAAAUCACAAUAGAAUCAAAUAAUUUUCAAUCAAAUAUGCAACUUAAAAGUCAUGCGGAAUGGACCAAGUCACAAUCUCCAACGGUGCACGCCCCCAUGCUCGUCAUCUAGCGUGUGUGUCACCUCUAGGUAGUGAAACGAUGUGAAAUCUGGGGUUUUAUACCCUCAGGACAAGAUUUACAAUUAUUACUUACCUCAAACUGGCCAAAGCUCUAACAUGUGAUUCCCUUGCCUCUCGACUCGGCCUCCAAAUGCUCUGAAUCUAACCAAAAUCAGUAUCGCAUCAUUAAUACACGCUAAAGGAACAAAGCCCAUGCAAAAAUGUUACAACCCAUAUUCACGUACGUUGGUUCAUGCCAUAAGUUAGUCGACGUAAAUCUUAGAAGUGAUUAUCUUUGAGAUGAUAAGAAGUUAAUCAUAUUGGUCUUAAAUGAUACAAGGAUGUAUAAGGGUGGUUAACAAGUAUUAGAAGUUAAACGAAUCAAGGAUGUUGUAACCCGUAUUUUUGGGUAAAUCUAGGGGUGAUAAUAUUCUCAAGAGGUCAUGUUUUAAGGUAUUUGAAUCAUAUAAUAUCUGUAUCAUAAGUCUUGAAGUCAAACGAGUUAUGAAACAAAAGUCGACAAAAGUUGUCGCAACUUAUGUUUAUAAUUUUACUUAAACUUUUGGUCAAAUGUUACUACUUUUUUAUCCCAAUUUACUUGAAAUUACGGGGUGAUGUACCCACCAAAUUGAAGAACUAUGAGUCUAGUUUCCAUCUAAUUAAAUCGUUCAUCAAUACGAUCUUGGAGUAUAGAGAUAUUCAUAUUUUUGCAAGACUGCGCAAAUUGGUAAGUGACAAGUAGGUGCAUCACCUACUUGCCAAAAUGAGAGAACUCAAUUAAAAGCCUCAAAGUCGGCCAAGAGGGGAAUUUAAAGGGCUUAUCAACUCAUUUAUUUCACCCAUCUUUCAGACCUUUAAAACCAAAUUGAACCCCUUCAACUCCACCCCAAAAAUCCCACACAAACCCUAGGGUAUUUCGGGUGUUAUGACGUGAUUCUAGUGCCGAAAAGUCCAGACAACUUGCUAAUUCAUUUUUUUCUUUCUUGUAGCUGCAUUAAGGAAUUGAUUUUUAUGAAGGACCAGGUUUCGUGGUUUAUACUCAGUACAAGGUAAGGUUGUGCUUCUCCUUCCAUUAUCUAUGCGUUUGCGAGUUGUAACUCGAUCGUAAAGACUAGACCUAGCGAGUUUCGAAAGAAUGGUAUGUUGUUUGUUGUUGCGUCAUGGUUGGCUGAUUGUGAACAUAUUUUUAAGUUGAAUCCAUGGCUGUUUUAUUGGAUAAGAGGCUUAAUUAUGUACUUUUGGUUGUGUUUCGUAAUUUGAAAAAAAGACAAGUCGAAACAUGUUUAAGUAAACUGAAAAAUUAAUUUUGAGUUGCUGAACUUGUGGGACUGUUUUGUAGGCUGUUUCGUGUUGUUAUUGGGUUGUCUAUUUUCCUACUAUUUUUAUGGAGUUGAGAGGUGAAAGGGUGUGGAGAAACACCACAUAAUGGCAAGGUUUUUUGUUGGUCGUUCAUCGUAACACUUUCGGAUUGUUUGACACUAUUAUGGUUGUCGUUUUGUGUAUGAAGUGAUCGGGGUAUGUUGGGCUGUAUGGUGAUUGUUUUGACUUGUUUGAAGUAAUAUUAUAUGGAAGGUGAUGUCCGUUUCAUCGUAAAAUAGGUUGUGGUCGAUACAUAAUAUUACGACGCUUAAACAAUAACGAUAGUGUCAUUUCUCUUAUUGUAGACUAAGGAGUCAUGACAUUUGCGUAGCUUGAGGUUGGGCAGUGUAUAUACAAGGUAUGUGAGGCUAUCCCUUUCCUUCAUUUGCAUGACUUCGAUUGUACAUAAUGCAAUGAACGAGCUUCCAAAGAUACUCUACUCUUAGAAGCUAGCAGUACUUACAUUAAUUCCCUUCUUAUGGAACAAUUGAUGUUGAGGUUGCUUCUUUAUUCUUAUGUUAUCAAUGUUUUGGUACUUCCUGAUUCUUAUAAGAUUCUAGAUGAAGAGUUAGUCCUAAUAAUGUGUACAGAGGAUACCGACCUUACGUCCCAUCGAAAGGUUCAGAAUAUUAUUCCAAUGAGUCCAGCAUGCAUUAUAUAUAUGUAUCUACUUUACUCUACCGACCGCGCUAUUGAAGGCCGAGUAAGGCACCUAUUGUGCAACCACUAAUCAGUUGGGUUUUAUCGAGCUCCACGUGGUCGGGUACGUUUUACCGAGCCUAUUAUGGCCGGGUACGAUAUGAUAAUGAUAAUGCCCAUAGAGGUGUAGGUUUUAAAAGUUUAUGUAUAUAUAUAUAUAAUAUAUAUAUAUAUCACAUAUUUCAUGUCAGUAACCCUCAGAGGUACCCAGAUGUUAUAGGUUGUAUAUUCUUUAUCCCUGUUUACAUUACUAUUUUUACUUAUGCUUUCUUGCCUUACAUACUCAGUACUUUAUUCGUACUGACGUCCUUUUUAUUUAUGGACGCUGCAUGUCGUGCUGCAGGUCCUGAUCGACAGGUAGACGCAGCUCCCCCACCAGAGUAGGCUUUCUAGUUCAGCAGUUAUCGGCAAGAUCCCUUCUCCGGACUUGCCGUGGUUUUGGUAUGCAAUCUUUGUUAUAGAUAUUAUGGGUAUGUCAGGGCCCUGUUCUGGUAAUGUUGCAGCACUUAUGAUCCUUUAGAGGCUCAUAGAUAGGUGUCGACUCAUGUAUAAUUUGGUAUACCUUGUCGGCUGAUUUUUGUUGUAUAAUCUUUCAUGGGAGCAUGGUAGCUCGUACCUUAUAGGUAUUUUCUUGGCAGUCUUGGCAUCCCAUGUUAUGUAUGUUCAUUCCACUAUCUUUCAUUAUUUGUUGUUCAUGAUCAUUUCUAUCUUUCAUAAUGAUCUCGUCGGCCCUUAAAGAUAUAAAGGAAGGUUAGAUAAAAUGUACGUUGAUGCCCGACAAUUAUGACCCAGGUGCUAGUCAUGAUCCUCCAGUUUGGAUCCUGACAAACUUGGUAUCAUAGCAAGUUUGUCUUAGGGGUUGUCUAUGAGCCGUGUCUAGUAGAGUCUUGAUUAUGGAUGUGUAGUGUGCCACAUUUAUAAUUAGGAGGCUACAUAACAUCUAGGGUUGUUACCUUCUUCCUGAAUCUAGAUCGUGCGUGGAGUUGAGUCGUAAGUGUUCGUCUCCAGUAUUCACCUUGUUUUCUUUCAGCAAUGCCUUCGACUAGGAAGCAAAAAAUUAGUAGAUGUCUUGAUACAGCUGCGGGAGAGAGUAUCAGUCAGGUGCCCCAAGCCAGAGCAAGCCAAAGUGAGGCUCAGAGUGAGAUACCGUCUCAUACCUCAUCUACGCCGUCUCCUCCAGAGGAUAUUAGGAGGCACCCAGCACCACCAGUUCCUCCGUCUGGAACUACAGAUCAGGAUAUGCGGAAUGCAGUGCAAUUAUUGACUAGCUUAGUAGCUGCUCAGGCUUAGAGGCAGAAUACCGGUGCUGUUGAUAAACCGGUUAGUACGAGAGUUCGUAAUUUUAUUAAUCUAGACCAACCAGUGUUUACCAAAUCAGACCCCAAGGAGGACCCGCAGACUUUUAUUGAUCAGGUUCAUCGUACACUACGGGUCAUGCAUGCUAGUGAUACAGAGGCAGUAAAGUUGGCUUCUUAUCGGCUAUAGGAUUUAAUGGUAUUCUGGUAUGAUAGAUGGGAGAGAUCCAGGGGUCCGAAUGCUCCUCCAGCUGAGGAAAGAAUUUUCUAAGGCCUUUCUUCGUCACUACUUGCCAAUUGAGAUAUGACGAGCUACAGCUGAUAAGUUCUUGAACCUUCGACAUGGUAAUAUGAGUGUGCGGGAGUAUAGUAUGCAGUUUGAUUCUUUAGCAAGGUAUGCUCCCCAUAUGAUGGCCGAGACGAGCGAUAGGGUGUAUCUGUUCGUGAAUGGGUUGGGACCACAUCUGAUAAAUGAGUGCACGACAGCCUCCUUGGUGGAGGGCAUGGAUAUUUCUCGUAUUCAGGCUUAUGCCCGGACCGUAAAGGAUCAUAAGCGCCAGCAAAGGGCAUAUAUGGAGCAGGAUAGGGGCCAACAUAAGAGGGCGAGAUUUGCAGGGUAUUCUGAUGACUUCAGAGGCAAUGUCAGGCCCCAGUCUUUGAGGAGUUCGGUGCCACCUAUAGCUAGUGCUCCUCUACAGUUUUAGAAGCCUCGGUAUGAUCGAUUUAAUUAUUCUGGUCGAGGUCAAAGUUCGCAAACAUCAGGCUUGCAAUAUCAUAGGGAAACUAGUCAGACGAGACCCCCAAUACCACGUUGUGAUCAGUACGGCAAGGCCCACUUUGAACUGUGUCAUUGAGGUUCUGAUGCGUGAUAUUCUUGCGGACACCUUAAACAUAUGAUGUGGGAUUUCCCUAACAUAGGAGGUGGUGGUAUGGCUCAGCCGACUGGAUCUAUGUCUGGUUCUUCCUCAUCAGUUCGACCUCCAGCACGAGGGUUUCAGCAGUCGACGGGUCAUGGUAGAGGUAGAGGUGCAGUGCCGAGUUCGAGUGGUGCUCAAAAUCGAACCUAUGCUCUAGUGGGUCGACAAGAUCUCGAGUCGUCUUCAGAUGUUUUUACAGGUAUAUUGUCUGUGUUUUCUUACGAUGUAUAUGUGUUUAUUGAUCUGGGAUCUACAUUGUCAUAUGUUACACUCUUUGUGGCUAAUAAGUUUGGCGUUGAACCUGAAUUGAUAAGUAAACCACUUGCGGUAUCUACUCCGAUAGGAGAUUCUAUUAUUGCUAGGAGGGUAUAUAGAGGUUGCACAGUGAUGAUUUGUAGUUGUCAAACGUCGGCAAAUUUAUUUGAGUUAGAAAUAGUUGAUUUCAAUGUGAUAAUGGGGAUGGACUGGUUGGCCUCAUGCUAUGCAAAUAUUGAAUGUCAUACGAAGAUGGUUAGGUUUCCGUUUCCUGGUAAACCUAUCAUUGAAUGGAAGGGGAACAUUGCUACGCCGAAAUGUAGGUUUAGUUCCUAUCUUAAGGCAAGGAAGAUGAUCUCAAAAUGUUAUAUUUAUCAUCUCGUUCAUAUUAGGUAUGUGUAGGCGAAGCCGCCUACUCUACAAUCAAUCCCUCUGGUCAAUGAAUUUCCAGAUGUUUUCCCAGAUGAACUCUCAGGCCUUCCUCCUGAAAGGGAGAUUGAGUUUAGCAUUGAUAUGUUGCCUGACACUCAAGCCAUAUCUAUUCCUCCAUACAAGAUGGCCUCGGUAGAGUUGCGAGAGUUGAAGGCACAGUUGAAGGACUUGCUGGAUAAGAGCUUCAUUAGGCCUAGCACUUCACCUUGGGGUGCGCCAGUUCUGUUCGUGCGGAAGAAAGACGGAUCGUUAAGGAUGUGUAUCGAUUAUUGACAGUUGAAUAAGUUUACAAUAAAGAACAAGUAUCCACUUCCAAGGAUUGAUGACAUGUUUGACCAACUCUAGGGUGCCAAGUAUUUCUCCAAGAUUGACUUACGUUCAGGGUAUCAUCAGGUGAGGGUUAAGGAGAAGGAUAUUCCAAAGAUGGCCUUCCAGACAAGAUAUGGGCACUUUGAGUUCUUGGUGAUGUUGUUCGGGCUAACAAAUGCCCCAGUAGCUUUUAUGGAUCUCAUGAAUACUGUAUUCAGGCCCUAUCUUGAUGUGUUCGUGAUGGUAUUCAUUGAUGACAUUCUGGUGUAUUCUCGUUCGGAGGUAGAACAUGCGGGCCACUUGCGGAUAGUAUUACAAAUGCUUCAGGAUUGUUAGUUAUAUGCUAAGCUCUCCAAAUGUGAAUUCUGGCUGAACUCGGUAGCAUUCCUAAGCCAUGUGAUAUCUGACGAGGGUAUUAGUGUCAACAGUCAGAAAAUCAAUGCAGUAAAGAAUUGGCCAAGACCUACAACACCAUCAGAAGUCCGCAGUUUCCUAGGGCUAGCAAGAUAUUAUAGGCAAUUUGUAAAAGGGUUUUCCUCUAUAUCAGCACCAUUAACUAAGUUAACACAAAAAGCUACUAAGUUCCAGUGGUCUGACGCUUGUGAACGAAGUUUUCAGAAGCUAAAGAAUCGAUUAACAUCUGCACCAGUGCUCACUCUCCCAGAAGGAACAGAAGGUUAUGUGGUAUAUUAUGAUGCCUCAGGUAUAGGUUUGGGGCGCGUAUUGAUGCAACGUGGGAAGGUGAUUGCUUAUGCAUCAAGACAAUUGAAGAAGCAUGAAAAGAAUUACCCGACCCAUGAUUUGGAAUUGGCUUAUAUGCUUUGAAGAUAUGGUGGCACUACUUAUACGGUGUCCAUGUUGACAUCUACAUAGAUCACAAGAGUUUACAAUACAUCUUCAAGCAGAAUGAGUUAAAUUUGAGGCAGCGUAGGUGGCUUGAAUUAUUGAAAGAUUACAAUGUCGAGAUAUCAUACCAUCCUGGUAAAGCCAAUGUUGUGGCAGACACUCUCAGUCAUAAGUCAAUGAGAAGCUUAGUACACAUUGAGGCAGGUAUACAAGGGUUGACUAAAGAGCUUUAUCAGCUAGCCAAUAUGAGAAUCAGAUUGUUAGACUUUGAUGACGAAAGUGUUACUGUACAGAAUACAGCAGAAUCAUCUUUGGUAGCCAAGGUAAAAGCACGACAAUACGAAGAUCCUACCUUAGUAUGAUUGAAAGAUAGCAUUCAGCAAUGUAAAAUUAUGGCUUUCGAGAUUGGAGAAGAUGGGUCACUGAGAUACCAUGGCUGAUUAUGUGUGCCUAAUGUGGCAGGGUUGCGAGAGAAGAUUAUGAUUGAGAUUCAUCAAUCCUGAUAUUCCAUUCAUCCCGGCUCGACAAAGAUGUAUCAUGACAUUAAGGAGCAGUAUUGAUGGGAUAACAUGAAGAAGUCUAUUGUAGAAUUUGUAGCCCAGUGUCCUAAUUGUCAACAAGUAAAGAUCGAGCAUCAGAAAUCCAGUGGAUUGCUUCAGAAUAUAGAGAUUCCAACCUGGAAAUGGGACGUGAUUAAUAUGGACUUCAUUAUUGGAUUGCCUCACUCUUAUCAUAAGUUUGACUCAAUCUGGGUGAUAGUUGAUUGACUUGCAAAAUAUGCCCAUUUUCUGCCAGUUAAGACAACUUACACAACUGAAGAUUAUACGAAGUUGUAUAUCAAGGAAAUUGUUAGGCUUCAUGAUGUGCCAGUAUCUAUUAUAUCAAACCGAGGAGCGCAAUUUACGGCUAACUUUUGGAGCUCUUUUCAUAAGGGUUUAGGCACACAAGUGAAUCUCAGCACUGCAUUCCAUCCACAUACUAACAGACAAAAGCUUAACGUACCAUUCAGACACUUGAAGAUAUGCUACGAGCAUGUGUUCUGGAUUUCAAGGGGAGUUGGGAUGACCAUCUUCCACUCAUAGAAUUUUCCUACAAUAAUAGCUACCAUUCUAGUAUUAAAAUGGCCGCAUACGAGGCACAAUGCGAUAAGAGAUGUAGAUCACCACUUGGAUGGUUUGAAGUCGGUGAACAAAACUAUAUGGGCCAAAUUUGACUCACCAAGCCAUCGAGAAGGUGAAACUAAUACAAGAGCGGCUAAGGACGGCGCAAAGCAGGCAAAAGUCUUAUUCCGAUGUUCGAAGUAGCAAUCUGGAGUUUGAGGUUGGUGAUUGGCUUUUCCUGAGGAUCUUGCCGAUGAAGGUUGUUAUGCAUUUUGGGAAGAAGGGUAAGCUAAGUCCGCGGUAUAUCGGUCCGUACAAAAUUCUUCGACGAAUUGGACAGGUUGCUUAUGAGUUAGAAUUGCCAUCCGAAUUGGAAUUUGUCCACCCGGUAUUCCAUGUAUCCAUGUUGAGGAAAUGUAUUGGAGACCCUUCUUGGGUCAUACCUAUCAAAGAUGUACAAGUUACAGAGGAUCUAUCAUAUGAAGAAGUGCAGUGACUAUAUUAGAUCGACAAGUCCGCAAGCUGAGAACAAAGGAUGUAGCUUCCGUCAAAGUAUUGUGGAGAAACAAGAACAUGGAAGAAAUGACAUGGGAAGAAAAAGAGGGGAUGAAGUCUAAAUACCCUUACUUGUUCUAGAUUCAAGAUAACGAGGGGACGCAGGACGCAUUAGAAGGUGAAAUGGCUCUAUGAGGUAAGUAGUAGCUUGAGAAUACUUUUCCUUAAUACAAAAUGGUGAUACAUAGAUAAUGUACAUAUCCAUAAUGCUUGGUAUAGCCUUGUGAGACAAUACGUUGGGUUUAGCUGCUUAAAAGUUUGGCUAGUAUCCAUUUUAUAGGGGAAACUCGACCGGAAAUUUCCAUUGGAAUCCACGAUGAGUUAGACUCCCUAUAAACCCUUACAUUUGAGGACGAAUGUUCCUAGGGGGAGAGUGUUAUAACCCAUAUUUACGUACAUUGGUUCAUGCCAUAAGUUAGUUGACGUAAAUCUGAGAAGAGAUUAUAUUUGAGAUGAAAAGAAGUUAAUCCUAUUGGUCUUAAAUGAUACAAGGGUGUAUAAGGGUGUAUUAGAAGUUAAACGAAUCAAGGAUGUUGUAACCCGUAUUUUUGGGUAAACCUAGGGGUGAUAAUAUUCUCAAGAAGUCGUGUUUUAAGGUAUUUGAAUCAUAUAUAAUCCGUAUCAUAAGUCUUCAAGUCAAACGAGUUAUGAAACAAAAGUCGACAAAAAUUGUAGCAACUUAUGUUCAUAAUUUGACUUAAACAUUUGGUCAAAUGUUACUACACUUUUCUCCCAAUUUACUUGGAAUUACGGGGUGAUAUACCCACAAAAUUGAAGAUCUAUGAGUCUAGUUUCCAAUGUAGUAAACCGUUUAUUAAUACGAUCUUAGAGAAUAAAGAUAUUCGCAUUUCUGCGAGACUGCGCAGAUUGGUAGAAGACAAGUAGGUGCAUCACCUACUUGCCAAAAUGAGAGGACUCAAUUAAAAGCCCCAAAGUCGGCCAAGAAGGGACUUUAAGGGCUUAUCAACUCAUUUAUUUCACCCAGCUUUCAGACCUUGAAAACCAAAUUGAACUCUUGCAGCACCUCCCCAAAAAUCUCACACAACCCCUAGGGUAUUUCGGGUGUUACGGCAUGAUUCUAGUGCCGAAAAGUCCGGACAGCUUGCUAUUUUCAAUUUCUUCUUCUUAUAGCUACAUUGAGGAACUGAUUUUUGAUGAAGAAGGACCAGGUUUCGUGGGUUAUAAUCAGUACAAGGUAAGGUUAUGCUUCUCCUUCCAUUAUCUAUGCGUUUGUGAGUUGUAACUCGAUCGUAAAGACUAGACCUAGCGAGUUUCGAAAGAAUGGUAUGUUGUUUGUUGUUGCGUCAUGGUUGGCUGAUUGUGAACUUAUUUUUAAGUUGAAUCCAUUGCUGUUUUAUUGGAAAAGAGGCUUAAUUAUGUACUUUUGAUUGUGUUUCGCAAUUUGAAAGAAAAAACAAGUCGAAACAUGUUUAAGUAAACUGAAAAAUUAAUUUUGAGUUGUUGAACUUGUGGCACUGAUUUGUGGGCUGUUUCGUGUUGCUAUUAGGUUGUCUCUUUUGCUACUGUUUUUAUGGAGUUGAGAGGAGAAAGGGUGUGGAGAAACACCGUAUAAUGGUAGGGUUGUUUGCUGGUCGUUCGUCGUAACAUUUUCGGAUUGUUUGACACUAUUAUUGUUGUCGUUUUGUGUAUGAAGUCAUAGGGGUAUGUUGGGUUGUUUGGUAAUUGUUUUGACUUGUUUGAAGUCAUAUAUAUAGGGAAGGUGUUGUUUGUUUCAUCGUAAAAUAGGUUAUGGUUGAAACAUAAUAGUUACGACGCUNNNNNNNNNNNNNNNNNNNNNNNCUUGGGCAAUGUAUAUACAAGGUAUGUGAGGUUAUCCCUUUUCUUUUUUUGCAUGACUCCGAUUGUACAUAAUGCAAUGAAGGAGCUUCCAAAGAUACUCUACUCUUUGAAGCUAGCAGUACUUACAUUGUUUCCGUUCUUAUGGAACAAUUGAUGUUGAUGUUGCUUCUCUUAUUCUUAUGUUAUCAAUAUUGUUGGUACUUCCUGAUUCUUAUAAGAUUCUUCAUGAAGAAUUAGUCCUAAUAAAUACCGACCAUACGUCACUCUGAAAGAUUCAAAAUAUUAUUCCAAUGAGUCCAGCAUGGAUUAUAUAUAUGUAUCUAUUUUAUUCUACCGAGCCGCGCUAUAGACGGCUCGGUACGGCACCUAUUGUGAAACCACUGAUCAGUUGGGUUUUUCCGAGCUCCACAUGGCCGGGUACGUUUUACCGAGCCUAUUACAGCCGGGUACGAUAUGAUGAUGAUGAUGCCCACAAAGGCAUAGGUAUUAAUGGUUUAUGCAUAUAUAUGUAUGUAUCACGCAUUUCAUGUCAGUAGCCCUCAAAGGUACCCAGAUGUUACAAGUUGUAUAUUCUCUAUCCCUGUUUACAUUAUUGUUCUUACUUAUACUUUCUUGACUUACAUACUCAGUACAUUAUUCGUACUGAUGUCCUUUUUAUUUAUGGACGCUACAUGUCGUGCUACAGGUCCUGAUAGACAGGUAGACGUAGCUCCCCCACCAUAGUACGCUUUCUUGUUCAACGGUUAUUAGCAAGAUCCCUUCUCUGGACUUGCCGUGGUCUUGGUAUGCAAUCUUUGUUAUAGAUAUUAUGGGUAUGUUGGGACCAUAUUCCAGCAAUGUUGCAACACUUAUGCUCAUUUAGAGGCUCAUAGACAGGUGUCGACUCAUGUAUAGUUUGGUAUGCCUUGUUGGCUGAUUUUUGUUGUAGUCUUUCAUGGGAGCGUGGUUGCUCGUACCUUAUAGGUAGUUUCUUGGCAGUCUUGUCAUCCCAUGUUAUGUAUGUUUAUUCCACUAUCUUUCAUGUUUGUUGUUCAUGAUCCAUUUCUAUCUUUUAUAAUGAUCGCGUCAGCCCGGUAAUUAUGGGCGGGGUGCUAGUCAUGAUCCUCUAGUUUGGGUCAUGACAGAAAAUUAUCAAAUUAACUCAAAAAUCCCGAAAUUGGCCAAAUCCGACCCCCGAGCCCACGUCUCGGAAUCCAACAAAAAUCAUAAAACCAGAAUCCUUAUCCUCUCAUGAGUACAUAUACACCAAAUUUACCAAAAUCUAAUUUCAUUUGACCCCUCAAUCGCCCAAUUUUAACUCUUAGGUUUCAAGCCCUAAUUCCCUAAUUUUCACCCUUAAAUCCCACAAAUUUCAUGCUUAAUCAACAUAAAAUCAUCAUAGAAGCAAGUUUUAGGUUCAAAAAAAUUACCUCAACGAUUUGCCCCUUCAAUCCCUCUUCAAAACCAUCCAAAAGCUCCAAAACCCGAGUUGAAAUUGUGAAGAAUGACCAAAAUUCACGAAGGGGAGCUUGUAUGCUUUCUGCCCCGGGGAUUCCGCACCUGCGAUCCCACAAGCGCACCUGCGUUUCCGUUUCUACGAAAAAUAUCUGCUUCUGCGGAUUUCACUUAACAUCACAGCCCUCGCAUCUGCAGUAGCCUUAUUGCUUCUGCGGCAUCGCAGAUGCAAUUUACCAAGCCGCACAUGCAAUCCUACACGCACAUGCAGUCCUACACGCACAUGUGCCUCUUUUUCGCUCCUACGGAUCUCACACCUGCAAUCCUCAAUCUGUAGGUGCGGAUAUGACAGAAGCAGCAACACCAGCUGCAAUUUCUCAAGUUCAAACUUUCCGAAAACUAUCCAAAAUCAUCCCGAGUCCCCCGGGACAUCAACCAAAAAUACAAACAAGUCACGUAUCACUAUUCAAACUUAUUACAACCUUCGGAACAGUCAAAACAACAUCAAAAGACCAAAUCACCCUCGGAUUCAAGCCUAAGGAUUUCCAAACUUCCGAAUUCCGUAACCAAUCCAAAAACCUCUCAAACCUUAUCCAAUUGACCUGAAAUUUUGCACACACUUCACAAAUGACACAACGGACUUACUCAAAUUUCUGGAAUUCCAUUCCGACCCCGAUAUCAAAAUUUUCACUGCUGACCGAGAAAUACUAAAUUUCUAAUUUUCGCCAAUUCAAGCCUAAUUCUACCACGGACCUCCAAAUCACAUUCCGGACGCGCUCCCAAGUCCAAAAUCACCUAACGGAGCUGACCAAAUCAUAAAAAUCCAAAUCCGAGAUCAAAUACUAAAAAGUCAAAACUUGGUCAAACCUUUCAAAUUUAAAGCUUCAAGCUGAGAAUCAUUCUUCAUAUCUAUUCCGAUUAAACUAAAAACCAAAACUGGCGAUUUACAUAUAUCAUAAUACCUCAUAUGGGGCUAGUCAUGCCCGAGAUCUGGCGAGCGAAGUGCAACUGCUCAAAACGACCGAUCGAGUCGUUACAUCCUCCCCCACUUAAACAUACGUUCGUCCUCGAACGUGCCCAAAGUUGUUCCCAAAAGCCAACAAAUCACUGUAUAACCUUACCAUGCACAUACUCGGGGGUGAUCCCACGUCACCCUAUCCCAUAUAGGCCCGAUAGGACAACAUAACUGAAAUUUCACAAUCCAACCUAGCCCCUUAACCUUAGAACCAAAUUUCCACUUCCGAAAUUAUCUAUAAGAUCAGAACCUCACAUCUAUACUCUCAAUAAGUCUGAACACGUUGUAUCAAGCCAUAACCACAACUCAAGAUGAAAUCCAUGAUAUACCACACAACUCAAACGCUCAAUCAAAACAGCUGCUCAAAACAAUCGAAUACCGAUAAUAAACCUCUUAUCAAUUAAAGUCUCACUCCAACACUUUUGUAUACUGCCAAUGAUGAAUGAAAAACACAGAAAGUCAGAACCAUUCCUCAGAUCAACCAUUCAUGAAGCUCCCUCUCCUUUCACAAGGACCAUAGUAAAUUUCUAAGUUGAAUCUCGAUACUAUCCUUCCAACAUGCUGAAAUCAAAUCCGAUAGUAUUCAUUCUAGAUCUCAAUGACCUCGUCUCAUCCAACACGACUACUAUGGUGAUAUGACACAUCGAUACAAUCUAAAACCACAACCUAGGUAACCCGCACACCAAUAAGCAACAGCCCAAAUGUACUCAAUUCAUGGAAAAUGAAUCAAAUGAGAGGGAUGUACCACAAGCUCACCAGUAUCACCACAACACAAUACUGAGAACCCAUCACACAUCGUAGGACCAGAACACAUGAAUCUAACCCAAAGGAUCAUACCUCCACAUAACUUCGCUACAACUGUGACCACAUCCAAACGCUGGUCUGCAUUAUAUACCUCGAGCCUCUCUGCUCGAAACACAUAACCACUCGGAAUUCAACAUCAAGGACCCAUAGUGCAUUACCAUAAUCACGGGGAAGCAAAUGACAUACACCACACAAACCCGAAAGAACAUAACCCAUAUGCCAUCCACCGAGCAAUACCCAAUACUUUUCUCGCUCGAAUUUCACUAUGAGACCCCAAUAGAAUCGCCCCAUAUGUAUAUAUAACCAACAAAUCAUAACUCCUCGCAACAUGGAAAGGUAACUCAUAGAUCACCCCAGAACAUGAAUAAGCUCAACAACAAUCGAAUCAAUACAUCCCUCAAUAAUAGCAACUCGGAGUCAACAAAGCCAACUCGAUGCAGAACACACAUCCAUAUUGGCCUACCAAUGAACCCCUUAUCAAGGAGUUCUUGAAGUUGUUCCUUCAACUCCUUUAACUCCGCCGGUGCCAUACAAUAUGAUGGAAUAGAAAUGGGCUGAGUGCCCGGCACCAAAUCAAUACCAAAAUCAAUAACCUUGUCCGGCAGCAUGCCCGGCAGGUCUGCAAGAAACACAUCCGGAAAAUCCCUCACCACCGGAACUGAAUCAAUGGUAGGAGUCUCUACACUGACAUCCCUCACGAAGGCCAAAUAAGAAAGAAAACCCUUUUCCAACCAUCCGAUGGGCCUUCAAAAGUGAAAUCACUCUACUGGGAACAUAAUCCAUCGAAUCUCACCACUUAAUACGUGGCAUCCCUGGCAUAGCCAACAUCAUCGUCUUAGCGGAACAAUAUAGAAUAGCACAACACGGAGACAACCAAUCCAUACCCAAUAUCACAUCAAAAUCCACCGUACUAAGCAACAAAAUAUUUACUUGGGUCUCCAAACCCCCAAUAAUCUCCACACAAGACCGAUAUAUGUGGUCCACAACCACGACAUAAAAUGUUUACGAGAACUUUCAGUCUCCAAAUCUAUAAAGCAUACGAAUCACCAUAUCCGAUCCCAACUCCACCACCCGUACAUCUAACGCACAUCUGAUACUCGAUCAUUCCACGAGGGAUACUCCUAAAAUUCUUUUGUGCCACAAUGCAAACUAAUAUAUCAGCAGUCAAUGAAACAGGAGAGUGCCGCAAUACCAAUGAAGUACCCUUAAUUCAAACACAUUGCCCUUUCUAAAAUGUAUACCCUCAUCAAGACGCACCAAUAGUGACAUCAUUUACCUAGUCAUCUGAAAAUGUCCAUGAUGCAUAAGAACUUAUGUCCUUCCUUCCAGAACUGAACUGUGACCUUACACAUGCAAAUCUCAACCCUACACAACAUACCGCAUAUACCAUGUCAUCCUAUGAUAAAUAUGAGAACUUCGUAAUCCCUUCCGAGCCACAAGAAACUACGUACUCAACCAGCCAAGAACUUUCCAUUUGAUCACGUCUAGAAGAAAAUCACUAACAUCACAUGCUCCUCACGCCAAUAAAAAAUAUACAUCUCCAACCGUGAUAGAAAUCACCAAGAACUCUCUGAAUCCCCUUUGAACAAAACCAAUCUAUCAAGACUGAAUCCAUCUAACUCAACCAAGCUACGCAGAUCACCAAAAGCCCAAGAGCAUUGCCAUGAAACACCUAUAGAAACUCAUUAUCUCAUAAGCACCCAAAGAACUAAUCAUAUCCCUUACCAUGCCAAUCCGACCUACUACCAAGUCGUCCUAUUUAGCCAAGUUCCUUUUGAAUUCCCUUCAAAUUGAUACUUCCUCUCGCCAUAAUACCGCAAUACUCAACCAAGACUCACCACACGAGACCCAAGCAUAAAAUCACACCGCCUAAGACUCAUAAGCCGCUGAAUAUUCUCUUAAAUAUCCCCAAAAGCACCACAUUCCAAAUACUUACCCUGAAGAGACUUCUUGCGAAUCUAAAGCCAUUAGCUUCACCUUCCUGAUACUGAUAUGUAGAAUCCAUAAUGAUGUAGAAUGCCACAAGUCUUGACACCAUCCAAUAAAACCUCGAUUUCUAGCUAAUUACACAUCUUGAAAAUCCCCAAUUUUUACAUAUAAAUCGUGAAUCCAUUAGAACCAUUCUUGAGAGUCAUCCACUCUGCUCAAACUUCAAUUAGACUGAUCAAACAGACCAAACGACAUGUGCUCCAUUAGCACUCCAAUGCCCCAAAAAGUAACUCCACCUUAAUGGGACCAAAUAAAUUUCUGCUCCAUGCACAUUACAUCCUUCACCAAUAACAACUCAAGUCAUCCCAUGAUUCUUAUACACCCAUAAAGCAUAACACAACCCCUAUCCAAAAUUUCCUUUACUCGAGUCAUCCUCGAUCUCAACCUCUGUAAGCCAUAACUAAUUCACCAGUAUGCCUCAAACUGGAACCAACAUAGGACAUAACCGUGCAAUCAACUAAUCAAUAGCAGACUCCCCCCACUUGGCUCAAAGGCAUACAUCAAAAUACACAAUAAUCUCACAAUGCAUGUACUCUAUUAUUGCCAUAAUACCAUAAUGACAUUAAACUCAAUCCUUCAUAAGCUUGUGCAACACAAGCCAUCUAGUACUUCAAAUCUUCUGCAAAUCUCGCAUUCACCCUCGUAACAGUCAAGCCCACUCUUUUAAGCGAUACAAAUUCAAAUUGCAACACAUAUACUGGUAAAAGAGGUCUUCCAACAAACAAAAUAAGGAUCACACAGACUUCAGAACAUUUCGCAGGAGGUAACCCACCUGCUUCGCCUCAAACUAACGCUUUUUUAUACCCUUCUACAGUCAUAAACAUCACGCAAUCAUAUGAAAAUCAAAUCACGAUGAAAAUCAAGCACCAAAUAGUUCUUUCUACCCUCAAGCGGACCCUUCUCGUCACAUUAAAAUCAUAUGAACACAUCUCGCGGUAACAUCAUACUCAUCACGCCGCCAUCCAGCCAUCACUCUCACUAAUAGGGACACUAUCGAACAUAUAAAUCCAAAAGCACGUGCUCGCACAAUCAACACAUCAGUGCUCAAACUACAGGCAAAGCCCGGAUUCAAGUCUUCUAGACUGGCCCAACAUUAACACAUAGAAAUCACGUCUCGCCUCUCGAUUAGGGAAUCACAAAGUCGAUGCACAGUUGAUACUGAGCGAUCAUGCGUGCAUACGAACGCGUGGAAAAAGUUUCAAAAGUUACAUUUAGGGCUGAAUCAAUGACGCGCGGUAAGAAUUUAAGAAUGUGGGAUUUCCUAAAGAUUCUGCAGCCUCUCGAAAAUAAGUACAGAUGUCUCUGUACCGGUCCGCGAGACUCUACUAAACCUGCUCAAAAUUCGUGAGAUCUAUGUAAUCUAGGCUCUGAUACCAAUUUGCCACGACCCGAAAACCAACCCGGUCAUGAUGGCGCAUAUCAUGAAACUAAGUCAGCUGACACAAUCCCAAUCAAACCAAUAUUCCAAAAAUAAGGACAUUUUAAGCUAUUAAUUAAAUAAAAUCUGAUAACAAGGGUCUAAAUCACAAAUGAGGAAAGAAACAUAAGCCCGACAUCAGGGUGUCACAAGUCACGAGCAUCUACUAAGGUUUGAAUACAAGGAAUACUACUAUAAUCUGGAAAAAUACUAAAACAACCUAAGGAAGAUGAGAGGGAGAAGAGCAAGGCUGCGAACGCCAGACAGCUACCUUGCUAACUCUGAUGGACCUACCACUGAGUAAUCAACAGCCGCUACCGAGUUCAGAAAUACCUGAAUCCGCACACAAGGUGCAAGGAGUAAUAUGAGUACGCCAAUUCAGUAAGUAAUAAAAGUAAAUAGAGACUGAGCAGUAAGAAAACACAUAAUCGACAUUAUAACACCACAAUAAAUACAUUAUGUUUUCAAAACAGUUUAUAAAUCAAACAUCUCGUUAAAAAUCCACUUUCAGUAAAAAUCCUUUGAAAAUAGUCUUUCAACAAUUUUUCAAAUGAUGUGAUAAAAUAGUGAGUAAAAAUAGUGAAAACAUAAUCAGCCCCUCGGGCAAAACUCACACGUAUACAGCCCCUCGGGCAACAUAAAUCACAAAUAGCCCAUCAGACAAGACAUGUAUCAUAAACCGCCCCUCGGCAUAAUAUUAAUCAGAACCAUCCCCUCAGGCUACUCACAGUUGUUGCGCCCCCUCUUUCUCGCGAAAUCGGGUUUAUGACAUUUGGGAGGAUAACUCGUUCCCUUUUGGAGAUUAGGUUUGAAUAGAAGAGUCGACACCUAAUGAUUUAAGUGCAUUAGGACACUAGAAAGGUUUGAUUUGAACAACCAGAGAUUGGGUAAGGGCUUGAAAUUAUCCCAAGGGGAAGGUGUUAGACACCCCUCAAGAUCCACUAGUGUGGUUCCUGGCCAGACAAUUAUUGUAAAUUGAGGUGCAAUUAACAUAUAGACAAAUAAGGCUCAAAUAAGAAGAGAUUUGAGUUUGAAUACAAAAGAGUUUGAAAACAAUUAUUAAAAGGCGAAUUUUGAAAAGGAGUUACAGUUCUACAAAUACUUGAGAGUAUAAAAGGAGGGGGAUCCUAUGUUUAUUUAUAAUAUGGAUCACAUCAAUGCAAUACCCGGUAUGAUACUCCUCAGAAGAGGGGAUACAUGUGGUAUUAGCGCACCGGUCAUUAUAUCCAUAUCUACCCUUCCCACCCCAUUAAGGUAUUAAGCGUGGAUCGGUCUCGACCUCUAUUGCAUGCUAUUACCCUUCUCAUUCCUAUCAGUCCCGGAGGAAUUUAGGAUUACUAUUCCUAUAAGAGGGAGGAUUUUAGGGUGACUCUCGGGUUUUAAAGAUAAAAAGGCUAAGGCGACAUACAAAACAUGUAGGACUGCAUAUUAAGGGGAAACAUAUAAACAAUUAAGAGCCUCAUGUGUACCUCUGAAGACAAUGCACACAAAUAGCAUGACUUAAACACGGUUAGGGUCGGAAUUGAACUCAUAAUUUUAAAGCAUGGUAUCUAAGUGAUAACAGCAAAGUCAGAUUUAUUACAUGACUCAUAUAAUAUGAUAACUUUACUAAUUUAGUAAAAUUGAUAAAUAACUCCAAAAAUAAUGUUCUAAAAUAAUUAGAUGUGAAGAGUUAGAAAGCAAAUUUAUUCCAAAACUCAGUGAACACUAAGCGGCCCAAAAUAAUUAAAUGGAAUGAUUAUUGAGCUCAAUCCUUGAAGUGACGUGUCCAUUUGGAAGAAUACGCCAAAAGAAAGGGCAAAUUUCAAAAUGAUUUUUGAAUUAGAACCAAAGUUAUAAUAUCAGUUUUGUUGUCAAAAUACUCAAAUUUAUUGUAAAGUAAGACCUCAGAAAUAGGUUAGAAAAUACUUAUUUUCUGAAAGAGACAAAAAUAAACAAACAAAUUAGACCGAAGCUAUUUGAACUGAUAAAAGAUGAAUGUUAACCAAUUAUGGACUUAGGUACUAUACUGUAAAAGACCUAGCUUAUUUUAAGAGCCUUUAUCACUACUCAUAAUUAACUAUUCAAACACACAGAAGAGGGAAAGAAAAACUAAUUUUACCUAUUAGCAUGCUAUGAUCGAAAUAAAAGAAUUAAAACUAAAUAAGCAAGUAGUCAAAUAGAGUAGGCAAACACUGUAUUCCUAAACACGUAGCAAAUAAUCACAUAGUCCUCCCAUCCCUAGUAAAUACUCCUUUGAUAAUUGUAUCAGUGUCACUAUAAGCCUAUUACAAGGCAGAUUGAGUGAACUAAAUAACAAGAUUUCCAUGGAGAUUCAUCUCACUCAAACAAACCAAACAACGCAUAGUCAGUUACUACUUACACUGAGACACGCUUGUUAGUCUUAAAGACGUGAUAUCUAAGCUUAGUUAUACAACGGAGCAUGUUGCGAUAGUAGAGAUCUAUAGUAGACAGGAAGAUGCUAGACAAGGCUAUGAGUCAUUCUAUUAAACAUGAAGUUAAUCACCUUAUACUCGUAAAUGUGGUACAUGGUGGUUAAAAUGGUGGUUAAAAUCCUAUGACAUGAUGAGUAUGCGAAAAAAUUCUAAUAAUAAGAUUAAACAACAGAGAACUACCAUGCAUCCCUUGGGCAAACUUUUUUUAAGAAGCAUCACGUUACCUUUUUUAGUACUAAGGAUACGGUGUUUAAAUGAUGGAAAACUUCAGUACAAGUUAAAAGUCUAAACAAAAUCUGUAUUACUUGUUUGGUUAAGCCUAAAUCAUAGUAUCUACUCGACAGAAUAUUCUAAACAAGUCCAAUUGGAUCAAACAGAUAAUAAUCCUACAUACAAGUUAUCUAUCGCACAAAAAAGCCAGAACAUACAAAUAGAAUUAAGCACAUACUGAGGUUUAAGAAACGUACCUGGCUUUAUACUGGCAUAAUUUCAAUAGAGUGCCGCAUGGCACUCAGCAGCUCGGCAUGGCCAAGAGUUUUACAGAAUACAAAACUAAAGAGAAGGACUAGUCUAUUCUAACAACAAAUAACACGUAAAGGAAUCAUAAUGCAUUGUUCAGAAAACUAACCAGUUGAAGAGCAUAUCAGUAAUAGAAUAUGAAAAAUCUGGAAUUCCAAGCUUAGACAACAGUAAGUGAACCAAAUAUUCUCCACAUUGUGCAGUGAUAUGCGCAAGAGACUCUAACAAUAGCAACAAGAAACGACAGACACCCCAAAAUUACCAGAAUCUCAAGAAUGUUCAGUAGUAUUUAUGUCGAACAAGUAUAAAGUGCCAAGCUUUGUUUUGCUCGCAGCAAUAAAUAAAGGAUAAUAUAGAAUGAUAUAGUAGCAGUGACUGAAAAGCAUCCCCCUAGUGCAGAGAACUAGUCAAUAUUUAUAGUAGCCAAUUAACCUUAGGGCCUGGUACUAGAAUGGAAGGAAUCACAAAACCGCAUAUCGAAUAAAGGAAGAUUUAGAAUUUUAAAAACGAAAAUUCUGUCAACCAGGAAUUCGGGGAUUGGGGAGAGAUUUGAGUAUUGAAAUAGGAAAAGAAGAGCUAUAGGUGAAUAUUUUAACAAAAUGAACUAAAAUUACUUACCAAUCAAUGAAAUUUGAAGAGUAAUUUCUUGAUAAAAUCCGAAAAUCAUUAGAAAAAAAUCCGCAAUUGAACUUUCAAGAUUUAAUCCAAUCAAUAACAAAUAAAGUGCCUACCUCCAAAACCUGUCUACAUUCGAGUGAUAAGUUCGAACCCGAGAAUGUCGAAAUGGGUAGAAUAGUACAGAGCUAAAAUUUCGGUUGCGAAUCAUGGUGAAUCAAUAUUUUCGUAGGGCGUUAAUAGGAAAAGUAAUUAAGGAAACAAAAUAAGAUAGAAAAGGGAAAGAAGAAAAUUAUUGAAGUAGGUAAAAAAAUGAAGAACUGAUGGACGAGAAGAGGCAUAUAUGCCGGCGACAAAGUCGGCAGAAGGUUUGGGCAAAGGGGUGUGUUUUAUGAGAUGGGUUACUAACAAAAGCUUAAUAGAAACGGG
rnacentral:lncRNA from 1 species